GUGGCGGAAGCUCAGCCUGGUUGAGCGCCGGAAUGUGGCUCCGGAGGUCGCGGGUUCGAUUCCCGUGCGCCACCCCA
rnacentral:tRNA from 1 species